rnacentral:rRNA from 1 species
AGUGAACGCUGGCGGUAGGCCUAACACAUGCAAGUCGAACGGCAGCACAGUAAGAGCUUGCUCUUACGGGUGGCGAGUGGCGGACGGGUGAGGAAUACAUCGGAAUCUACUUUUUCGUGGGGGAUAACGUAGGGAAACUUACGCUAAUACCGCAUACGACCUACGGGUGAAAGCAGGGGAUCUUCGGACCUUGCGCGAUUGUAUGAGCCGAUGUCGGAUUAGCUAGUUGGCGGGGUAAAGGCCCACCAAGGCGACGAUCCGUAGCUGGUCUGAGAGGAUGAGCAGCCACACUGGAACUGAGACACGGUCCAGACUCCUACGGGAGGCAGCAGUGGGGAAUAUUGGACAAUGGGCGCAAGCCUGAUCCAGCCAUACCGCGUGGGUGAAGAAGGCCUUCGGGUUGUAAAGCCCUUUUGUUGGGAAAGAAAAGCAGCAGGUUAAUACCCCGCUGUUCUGACGGUACCCAAAGAAUAAGCACCGGCUAACUUCGUG